rnacentral:rRNA from 1 species
GGUUUGUUAGUCAAAUGUGAAGCCCAGGGCUCAACCUUGGAACUGCAUUUGAUACUGGCAAACUAGAGUACGGUAGAGGAAUGGGGAAUUUCUGGUGUAGCGGUGAAAUGCGUAGAGAUCAGAAGGAACACCAAUGGCGAAGGCAACAUUCUGGACCGAUACUGACACUGAGGGACGAAAGCGUGGGGAUCAAACAGGAUUAGAUACCCUGGUAGUCCAUGCUGUAAACGAUGAGUACUAGCUGUUGGAGUCGGUGUAAAGGCUCUAGUGGCGCAGCUAACGCGAUAAGUACUCCGCCUGGGGACUACGGCCGCAAGGCUAAAACUCAAAGGAAUUGACGGGGACCCGCACAAGCGGUGGAGCAUGUGGUUUAAUUCGAUGCAACGCGAAGAACCUUACCUGGUCUUGACAUCCUGCGAGCUUUCUAGAGAUAGAUUGGUGCCUUCGGGAACGCAGUGACAGGUGCUGCACGGCUGUUGUCAGCUCGUGUUGUGAAAUGUUGGGUUAAGUCCCGCAACGAGCGCAACCCCAA